ACUUGUAUUGCAAUAUGUUUGCUAUUUUAGUUUACAUUUGAUUUUGGUCUUGUUUACAUUUGCACUUGCUCUUUUUGGUAGCACAUGUGGAUCUAAUCAUGGUUUGCUCCGGGUUUUAUUAUUAUAGGUUUAAUUGCUCCAAGUUUAAUUGUGUGAGGUUUAUUUGCUUGUAGUGAAUCAUGUCCAUGUCAACGGAUUAUCUAGUUGUUUUUCCCCAAGACUAAUUCAUUUAGAUAUUUGACACAUGUUGUGGUAUUCCAAGGUUUUCGAUUUAUUAAUUUUGUACUUGUGUUUUGAAACAAGCAUGUAGUGUGAGGCUUCAUACAACUCUUGGUUGCACUAGCGGGACAAUGGUUAGGGUGGAGGAACCCCUUCUUUUGUAGCCAAGGAACAACUCAAUUGAGUUGGGAAGCUACCACUUCUUAAUUGGAGUAGCCUUUUUUUUUAAGCAAUUCCAUAUGCUAUGUGAGGCAAGGAAGACAAGUUUUGAGGGAAAAAGAAUGAGAAUGCAUGAGAGCUAAACAAGAAGGAAAAGAGUAGUCCAGAGACAUACACAAUAGUGCUUAAGCCGUGCUCAAGCUGUGCAGAUCACAAGAACUGGGAAUUCAAAAUUCAUUGAGCCAACACUACCUCUUUUCUCCUCUUCACUAAACCAACUCCUUACACAGUCAUGCUUCAGGCCAUGCUUCACCUGUGCAAAUCUCUAAAGAUGGAUUUUUCGCGUGGUUCGGGCCCCGAAAUUCUCCAUUAAAGUGCACGACUGUGCAUAAGUCAAAUCUGCAUAUUUAAGCCCAAAAGUUAGACUAUUGAGAGGACUUUUUGUUGGAGAAUAAAGGAAAUGGCUAGGGUUUUGGAAGAGAGUG